GACGAACGCUAGCGGCGUGCUUAACACAUGCAAGUCGAACGGAAAGGCCCUGCUUUUGUGGGGUUCUCGAGUGGCGAACGGGUGAGUAACACGUGAGUAACCUGCCCUUGACUUUGGGAUAACUUCAGGAAACUGGGGCUAAUACCGGAUAGGAGCUCCUGCUGCAUGGUGGGGGUUGGAAAGUUUCGGCGGUUGGGGAUGGACUCGCGGCUUAUCAGCUUGUUGGUGGGGUAGUGGCUUACCAAGGCUUUGACGGGUAGCCGGCCUGAGAGGGUGACCGGCCACAUUGGGACUGAGAUACGGCGCAGACUCCUACGGGAGGCAGCAGUGGGGAAUAUUGCACAAUGAGCGGAAGCCUGAUGCAGCGACGCCGCGUGCGGGAUGACGGCCUUCGGGGUGUAAACCGCUUUGGCCGGUGACGAAGAGUGAGUGACGGUAAUGGGUAAAGAAGCAACGGCUAACUACGUG
rnacentral:rRNA from 1 species